UUGUACUAUCAAUGCGCGGAUCCGCGGGUAACCCGGUUCGGAUUCGCUGCGCGGACGCGCCACUGACUCAGCCGUUAUCAGAACCUGAGAGAAAGAAACAACAUCCACCUGUUGUCUGUGGAUUUCACUUUUUGACGAGCGCAGUAGGAAAGUUAGCGACAGAAGCAGCUGACGUGAUGAAGACGAUGUGAGGUCAGGAGUCAGGAUAACUCCAUCUCUUGAGAUGACAUCAGGACUCUGUCCUUCUGCUGAAUGUCCCCAUCAGGAGCC